AAAAAAAUAAGUUGAACGUUUUGUGUUUCUUGAGCCCAGUUGCCAAGGGCCUCGUGACUGGGCCUCAUGCCAAACAACUCGUUACAAAAAGAGGUAGGGUCCCAGACUGCGCCAAAACUUCAUGAGACCUCUCCUCGUCUGUGCAUGGACCAGUGGCCGACUCUGGAGCCCAGGCUGUUGCUUCUCAGUCUGGUGGUGAAUCCUCCAUAGUCUGGGAUUUUCUUAUGGGUAAAGAAGCCAAGCUGUAGAGGAAAAGAUAAGCGUCAUCGCCAAAUGCCUGGACUGGGAACCCUGCCAGUAGCUCUCAGACUUAUCUGAGAUCUUCACUUUUGUUCUGUUUCCAAAAAUGGAAUUCAAAUUUAUUUUAUUUGGCUUAGGAGAAUUUAACCAACAUUUGUGGGGUACAGUGAAGGAGACCUGGGCAUGACAUCCACAGCCUGCUUAGCUGCCCAGCACAAAUCAUGUUCUCUCUGCUAUAAUCAAGAAUUCUUCAACUCAUGGGCAGCAUGCUCCACACUCCCCACUAAAGCAGUGCUUACCUUCCACAGGCAGAAGACAAGGAGAGCAAGCAGGAGCAACCCUCCCAGGACACUGCCUAUGAGGAUCCACAGGGAGAUGAGGAUAGGCCGGGUCUGAACCACCUCCAGAAGGCUCUGUAUGGAGAGAAGAGUAGUUUUCUACAUGCAUUCUGUAACCCAACUAGUCUCAUCUCACACUAUACCAAAGCCAGCCCCUAAAUAGAAUAACCUCCUUCUACUUAAAAGAAAGAAACGGAGGCAGGAAUGGCGGCAGUGGAACACUAGGAUCCUGCUACCUGAUGGAGAUGCCUUUGUUCUGGAAAAGCCCACAGGUGGCCCUAUCCUAUACCCAUCAUCAUUAUUUUCACAGCUCUCAAACUCGGUCUCCGGCCCCACCUCACUCCAACGGGAGGCUUCAGUCAGCUGUAGGACACUGCCCUCCUCGGUUCCCAGCUCAAAGGUGCUGACCACCAUCAGGGACUUGAACUUGGCCUGUGGAACAAGUGGAUAGGAAGACAUUUAAAAUGAGCCAUCACCAGGUGAUGUAGUUGUUUAGAAUCCCAAUAGCAAAGUUGAGGCCGAGAGACAUAACCUCAAGGGCUCUCAAGACUAGAAGAAAAGGCUGAAGACCAAUGGGAAAAGAGAGGAAGGAUAAUAGAUGGAAAACCCCUGGUCACAUCUGCUGCUGCUGUUUGUUUUCCAAGGACAGUCAGUACAUCUGAGUUGCAGAUACCAGCGCUUUCCGCCGGCCACCUCGAACCACAAAUGGGGCCUUCCUGGGAAUGAUGAAUGAGGGAGAGACCAGGAGUUGAAGGAGGGGAGUGCCAAAAGUCUCACUUUUGUUAUCAUGGUUCCUGCCCUCUCCUUACCAGCACAUGGAAGUGUAGCUGCUCACAAGUGAUAUUCCCCACACUGAGCCGGAGCCUCCGAGGGGACAGCCUCUGGCCAGAGCCAUCAAAUGCUGCACGUGCCCCAGCCGUCCAUUCAUCCAGUGAUGCUGUGAACCUCAUGUCUGAAUGAAGGAGGCAAGAGUGAGGGUGGAAAGGGGUCUAGUGAGGAAGGCAGGCAAGGAAUUGAGAGUUGCCUGUGAUGCGCUUUAGUCACUCACAGAAUCGGCGAUCCCAGCGACCAGGAGUACGGGAGGUCACUUGGAAGCAGAGGGCUGCAGUCAGACAGACUGCCUCCUGGCCUCGCCGCCUACAGUCCCUCUGAACCACACUGAUGGCCUGUGGGGUCACCUCCAGUGACGGGGCCAGAUGGACAAUGGGCCGGGAGCUGGGAACAGUGUGGAAAAGAAAUUCUAUCAGUAGGAGGUAAGCCCUUGAGAAGCGCAAGCCCAGUGUUUGCUACUCCAUGGUUAAAACAAAGAAGGAGGGGCUGAAUGCAUAUGUCACCCUCCCCGGGAGCCCUCUGACAGAAGUAAGAUAAUAGAUUCAUGUCAUUGAUCUUUUUUUUUUUUUUUUUGAGAUGGAGCUCACUCUGUGGCCCAGG